rnacentral:tRNA from 1 species
UCCGAUAUGGUGUAGUGGCUAACAUUAUCGCCUCUCACGCGAUAGCCCGGGGCUCAAUUCCCCGUGUCGGAA